GACGAACGCUGGCGGCGUGCUUAACACAUGCAAGUCGAACGGAAAGGCCCUGCUUUUGUGGGGUGCUCGAGUGGCGAACGGGUGAGUAAAACGUGAGUAAACUGCCCUUGAAUUUGGGAGAAAAUCAGGAAACUGGGGCGAAUACAGGAUAGGAGAUCCUGCUGCAUGGGGGGGGUUGGAAAAUGUCGGCGGUGGGGGAUGGACUGGCGGCUUAUCAGCUUGUUGGUGGGGUAGGGGAGUACAACGGGUUUGACGGGUAGCCGGCCUGAGAGGGUUACCGGCCACAUUGGUACUGAGAUACGGACCAGACUCCUACGGUAGGCAGCAGUGGGGAAUCUUGCACAAUGGGCGGAAGCCUGAUGCAGCAACGCCGCGUGCGGGAUGACGGCCUUCGGGUUGUAAACCGCUUUCGCCUGUGACGAAGCGUGAGUGACGGUAAUGGGUAAAGAAGCAACGGCUAACUACGUG
rnacentral:rRNA from 1 species